AUUGAACGCUGGCGGCAUGCUUUACACAUGCAAGUCGAACGGUAACAGGCCUUCGGGUGCUGACGAGUGGCGAACGGGUGAGUAAUGCAUCGGAACGUGCCCAGAGGUGGGGGAUAACGCAGCGAAAGCUGUGCUAAUACCGCAUGUGAUCUGAGGAUGAAAGCGGGGGACCAGGCAGCAAUGUUUGGCCUCGCGCCUUUGGAGCGGCCGAUGUCAGAUUAGGUAGUUGGUGGGGUAAAGGCCUACCAAGCCGACGAUCUGUAGCUGGUCUGAGAGGACGACCAGCCACACUGGGACUGAGACACGGCCCAGACUCCUACGGGAGGCAGCAGUGGGGAAUGUUGGACAAUGGGCGCAAGCCUGAUCCAGCAAUGCCGCGUGCGGGAAGAAGGCCUUCGGGUUGUAAACCGCUUUUGUACGGAACGAAAAGGCUCUGGCUAAUACCUGGGGCUGAUGACGGUACCGUAAGAAUAAGCACCGGCUAACUACGUG
rnacentral:rRNA from 1 species